UCACCGCAGCCAGGCUUCCCUUCUGAACCCGCUGCUGCUUCCCUCCGAUCCCUGCGGCAAGAGCACAGCCAGGGCCCUUCCGAGAAGCCUGGAGAGACACAGCAAAUGUGCAGGGCUUAAAAAGGGGGUUAAACACAGGAGGAGGUCGGAAGAAAGCCAAGGAGCAGCUUGGACUGAGGGAGGGCAAGUUUUCCCUGAAAUGCUAUUUUUGAGCCUCUUCCCUUCCCACACUGGACCUGCUGCUCUGCAUGGAUCAGAGCCAAGGCUGUGAUUCCUGGCAAUGCCACUGCUGCAACUCCAUCAACAGAGUCAUCAUCCCAAACAAACUGGGACCCUCUGGCCCCCUGGAUUCAUCCCUCUGGACUCAUCCCAUCCUUACACAAACACCCCACAGGGAUUUGGUGCUGCUGCCAAGGUUGCAAGAAGAUGGACCUGGUGAUGUGCAGGGUUUUAUGCUCCUGGAUCAAUUUCUCCACAGACAGAUAAAUUUAUCUAAGAAUAUGACAUGGCACGAGAUAUCCUGAAGGUUUCCAGCCCAAAGGGAACACUGGUCACUUCCAAGGGCUGUGGCAAGGACAGUGACAACAAUCCUGAUCCUGUCUGUAAUUACCAAAUGCUGGAGCUUCACCAUCAGCAGCUCCAUCUCUCAGCAGGCAGAAUUUUCACUAUUUCUGCUUCCAUAUUUUGAGGCUGUGCUGGGAGAAAUCAGCACUUCUGCACAUGGCACUGAGAAAUUUGCUACAUCAACCAAAUGCCUGCAAAGCCAAAGCCAUUAACAAAUCAAACAUCAUGGCUCAGACAUUCAGCAUGAAUUUAUUUUGCUGCAGUCGUUCCAGCUGAGCAAAAUAUCUCCCCCCAAACGAGUUCCUAAUCAGCCUCCAUCCUCCUCCAGGCUCACCACAGUUAAAUCUUUCACAUUGCUCCUGAAAACUUGAGAAAUUGAGCUGUGGACAGGGAAAAAUGAGUUGUGGAAUAAAUGUUUCCCCCAGAAGCAGAUGAACUCUUUGUUCCAAGGCUGUCACGUCAGUUCAAGAGGCUCCCUAUAUGUUUUCUGAAGAGCCUUUGCAGUGACAAGAUAAGAUGCCACCACUGUGAAAUAAUCUCUGGGAAAAAGAGCAAUUCCUGCUGCCUGAGGGCUCUGCUCCCACUGGGGCUGAGGCAGCUGCAGGGGCCCAAAUGCCAAAUUAACCCUUCAUCUCCACACAACCUGCACAGGGAGCAUCUUCCUCCCAUCACAACUCUUCCAAACACUUCCCACUGACUUCCCACAUGUGGAACUUUCUUCAGUCCAGUUGAAAACUGCACUCAGGACUUUUUGCUCCUCAGGUUUUUGGUGCAGACAGAGGCGGCUGAUGGGGUUUUCAGUAUAAAAAAAAUAAAUCAAAUCUUUUUGUGAAACUGUU